GGGGGUGUAACUCAAGUGGUAGAGUGCUCGCUUCGCAUGCGAGAAGUACUGGGAUCGAUGCCCAGCUCCUCCA
rnacentral:tRNA from 1 species